rnacentral:lncRNA from 10 species
CAAAAAUUAGCCAGGUGUGGUGGCGAGUGCCUGUAAUCCCAGCUACUCGGGAGGUUGAGGCAGGAGAAUCGCUUGAACCUGGGAGGCGGAGGUUGCAGUGAGCUGAGAUCCUGCCACUGCCCUCCAGCCUGGGCGACAGAGCAAGACUCCGUCUCGGAAAAAAAAAAAAAUUACUUGACAUACAAAGAGCCACAAAAUUCUCAAGAGAGAGAGAGUCAACAGAUGCUCUAGGUGCUGGAAUUAGGUCAAGACUGGACAGCACCUGUCACAACUGUGCUCCACAUGGUAAAAGAAACCACGAGUGAAGCAGAUGGAAGGACAGAAAUUCUCAGUAGGUAAAUGGAAACUACAAAAAAGAACUAAAUAGAAAUUUCAGAACUCAAAGAUAUGAUACCUGAGAAAUUGUUUUUUUUUAAUGGACAGACCUAAUAGCAGAAUGUCAGUGACAGAGGAAAGAAUCUGUGAACUUAUACAUGGAUCAGUAGAAAAUUUCCAAUCUAGACAAUAGAAAGAAAAGUAAGACUGAAGGCCGGGCACGGUGGCUCAUGCCUGUAAUCCCAGCACUUUGGGAGGCCGAGGUGGGUGGAUCACCGGAGGUCAUGAGUUCGAGACCAGCCUGGCCAACAUGGUGAAACCCUGUCUCUACUAAAAAUACAAAAAUUAGCUGGGCAUGAUGGCGGGUGCCUUAAUCCCAGCUACUCGGGAGGCUGAGGUGGGAGAAUCACUUGAACCUGGGAGGCGAAGGUUGCAGUGAGCUGAGAUCACGCCAUUGCACUCCAGCCUAGGUGGCAAAGCAAGACUCCAUCUCAAAAAAAAAAAAAAGAAAAGAAAAAGAAGACUGAAAAAAAUGAGCAGAGUCCAGGGACCUGUGGAAUGAUAUCAAAAGGUCUAACAUUCACGUCCUUAGAGGCCCAGAGGAGAGAAGAAAAUGGUGCAGAAAAAUAUUUGAAGAAAUAAAAGCAGAAAACUUCCCAAAUUUGGGGGAACAUAUCAAUUUACAGUUUUAAUGAGCUCAGCAAAUCCCAAACAGACUAGACUCAAAUAAAACCAUGCCUACACACAUUAAAAACUGCUAAAACAUAAAAACAAAGAGAAAAAUCUUGAAUGUAGCCAGAGAAAAAUGAUAGCUUACACACACAGAGGGAGCAGGAAUUCAAAUGACCCAGGAUUUCUCAUCAAAACCACAGAGGCCAGCAAAUACACUGUGGAGGCUUGAACGCAUGCAGCUAAGUGAAAACAGCCAGCCUGGGAAAGGCCACACAACUAUACAACUCCAGCUAUACAACUCUCGGGAACAGGCAAAACCAUGGAGACGGGAAAAAGGACAGACCACAGUCGCGUAUCAAGAGCGGCAGG